rnacentral:rRNA from 1 species
UACGUAGGGAGCAAGCGUUGUCCGGAAUCAUUGGGCGUAAAGAGCUCGUAGGCGGUUUGUCGCGUUGUCCGUGAAAACUCACAACUCAAUUGUGGGCGUGCGGGCGAUACGGGCAGACUGGAGUACUGCAGGGGAGACUGGAAUUCCUGGUGUAGCGGUGGAAUGCGCAGAUAUCAGGAGGAACACCGGUGGCGAAGGCGGGUCUCUGGGCCGAUACUGACGCUGAGGAGCGAAAGCGUGGGGAGCGAACAGG